rnacentral:rRNA from 1 species
UCGUACGCUUCUUUUUCCACCGGAGCUUGCUCCACCGGAAAAAGAGGAGUGGCGAACGGGUGAGUAACACGUGGGUAACCUGCCCAUCAGAAGGGGAUAACACUUGGAAACAGGUGCUAAUACCGUAUAACAAUCGAAACCGCAUGGUUUUGAUUUGAAAGGCGCUUUCGGGUGUCGCUGAUGGAUGGACCCGCGGUGCAUUAGCUAGUUGGUGAGGUAACGGCUCACCAAGGCCACGAUGCAUAGCCGACCUGAGAGGGUGAUCGGCCACAUUGGGACUGAGACACGGCCCAAACUCCUACGGGAGGCAGCAGUAGGGAAUCUUCGGCAAUGGACGAAAGUCUGACCGAGCAACGCCGCGUGAGUGAAGAAGGUUUUCGGAUCGUAAAACUCUGUUGUUAGAGAAGAACAAGGAUGAGAGUAACUGUUCAUCCCUUGACGGUAUCUAACCAGAAAGCCACGGCUAACUACGUGCCAGCAGCCGCGGUAAUACGUAGGUGGCAAGCGUUGUCCGGAUUUAUUGGGCGUAAAGCGAGCGCAGGCGGUUUCUUAAGUCUGAUGUGAAAGCCCCCGGCUCAACCGGGGAGGGUCAUUGGAAACUGGGAGACUUGAGUGCAGAAGAGGAGAGUGGAAUUCCAUGUGUAGCGGUGAAAUGCGUAGAUAUAUGGAGGAACACCAGUGGCGAAGGCGGCUCUCUGGUCUGUAACUGACGCUGAGGCUCGAAAGCGUGGGGAG